rnacentral:tRNA from 5 species
GGAGAGAUGUCCGAGUCUGGCUUAAGGAGCACGAUUGGAAAUCGUGUAUACGCCAAAAGCGUAUCUGGGGUUCGAAUCCCCAUCUCUCCGCCA